rnacentral:rRNA from 1 species
GACGAACGCUGGCGGCGUGCUUAACACAUGCAAGUCGAACGGAAAGGCCCUGCUUUGUUGGGCUGCUCGAGUGGCGAACAGGUGAGUAACACGUGGGUACCCUGCCCUUCACUUUAGUAUAACUUCAGGACACUGAGUCUAAUACCGGAUAGGAGCUCCCGCUGCUUGGUGGGGGUGGGAAAGUUUCGGCGGUUGGGGGUGGACUGGCGGCUUAUCAGCUUGUUGGUGGGGUAGUGGCUUACCAAGGCUUUGCAGGGUAGCCGGCCUGAGAGGGUGACCGGCCACACUGGGACUGAGAUACGGCCCAGCCUACUACGGGAGGCAGCAGUGGGGAAUAGUGCACAAUGGGCGGAAGCCUGAUGCAGCAACGCCGCGUGCGGGAUGACGGCCUUCGGGUUGUAAACCGCUUUCGCCUGUGACGAAGCGAGAGUGACGGUAAUGGGUAAAGAAGCACCGGCUAACUACGUG